GGGCUCCCCUCGGGUUGGUGCUGUCCUUUCCCCUGCGGCCUCUGCUCUGGCGGCAGUACGAGGGCCGAGCUCCAGACACGUGCGGGAUGACUUGAAAGUAGGGCAUCCUUGGCCUUCCAGAAGAGAGUAAAUUCACGGCACGUGGACGGUCUGCAUGGCGUUCUCAGAUGCCUUUAUCUGAAUGAGAAAUCUGCCUCCAUCAGAAUCUCAGAUGUCUGACAGCCCUGUGUGACACCAGGAUAGAGAAAGAGAGUGAAAAGAACAGCUUUAAAUCCAAAUGACAGCCCUGCCUUAGUUUAAAGCUAAGUUCUCUUAUCUGCUUAUUAUGGAUCUUUGAUAAAAAAUACAAUUGCUGAGAAGUCUGUUUUGCUUGCUGUUCGCUACGAGCAUUGUGAAACCUUUCCUGAAUGUAACCCGCUAGGUAAUAGAAUAAGUUGUGAAACUUCCUAAAUGUAGUCUGAUAUGUAAUAGAAUAAGUGAUUGUACAUAAACUAACCGGCAUUUCUCGCUUCUGUAAACCUGCUUGCUUAACACAUUCCUCUCCUACCCCCCUUCCCCCUUCCCCCUUUUCCUCCCGCCACAAGUAACGGACAAAGCCUUCCCGCCAAAGGACAGACAAAGGACGCCCAAUCAGAGAACAACAAAUGUCCUUACUUUAAAACCAACUAAUCAGGCCCCUCAUAAUUUGAAACCUCCCCCGUACUAUUUGUCUCCGUCUAUAAAAACGCUGUACCAACCCUGAUCGGGGCCUCUUAGCGACACCGGCAACAAGUGCGCGGAGGUCCAGGUUCGAACCUGCAAUAAACGACCCUUGCCGCUUGGCUUUGACUUACGACUCUGGUGGUCUUUUGUGGGAGGUUUCAGAACUUCGGGCAUAACAAGAGUGCAAGCAGGGGAAGGACAGAUGAUCCAAAGUGGGCUCUGCACGGACAGCAGAGAGCUCAGCGCGGGGCUUGAACUCAUGAACUGCGAGAUCAUGACCUGAGCUGAAGUCAGACGCUUAACCGACUGAGCCACUCCAGCGCCCCUACCAUAUCCUUUUAAAAUAAAUUGGUAAAUUGUAAGGAAACCGUUUUCCUGAGUUCUGAGAGCUUUUGCAAAUUUAUCAAACCUGAGGAGGGAUUUGGGGAAUCUGUGAUUUAUAUUGGUCAGAAGUACAGGUAACAACCUGGACUUACGGUUGGCAUCUGAAGUGAGGGAGGAACAGUCUUGUUGGACUGGGCUCUUAACCUGAGGGAUCUGAUGAUACUCGAGGUAUAUGGAGAGUCAGAAUUGGGCUAAAAUGUACGACACCCAGCUGGUGACACAAAUUUGCUUGGUGUGGGAGAAAAUCCACACACAUCUGGUGUCAAAAAUGUUGAGAGAGUGGUAGUAGUGUGAGAGUAAAGGAAAAAUACAAAGUGAGGUUUUCUUGGGGCACCUGGCUGGUUCACUAGGUAGGGCAUGUAACUCUUGAUCUCAGGGUCAUGAGUUUAAGCCCCAUGUUGGGUAUAGAGCUUAAUUUACACAGAGAAAAAUCUUCUAAAAAGUGAGGUUUUCUUUACAGGUGGAAAAAUUUACAAGUUCUAAAAAAUUACAGGAAAUAUGAGAACAUUAGAGAAGAAUACUAAAUCAAAAGUCCAAGGCUUAAACUAAGCUCUUAUUUUCUAGAGCUCUGCAGUACAAUACAUGAGGCUAUUUCAACUGACAAAAAUUGAAUCUGUUUUUCCAUCUCAGUAUUUAGUGAAUGCCGUAUCGGACAGCUCAGAGAACAUUUCCACCUGUGUGGAAAGUUUUAUUAUACACUGCUGUUCUAGGGCAGGGGUUGGUAAACUUGUAAAAGGCCAAAUAAUAUUUUAGACUUGUGUACCAUGUAGUCUCUCUUAUAACUACUCUCAAUUCUGCAGUUGCAGUAUGAAAGCAGCCAUAGACAUAGAAAGUGUCAACAAAUGAGCAUUACUGUGCCCCAGUAAAACUUUAUAUUUUUUAGAUUUUAUUUAUUUUGAGAGCAAACAAGCAGGGGAAGGGCAGAGAGAUGGGGAGAGAGAAUUCCAAGCAAGCUCUGCGCUGUCAGCCCCAGAGCUUUAAGUGGGGCUCAAUCUCAGGAGCCAUGAGAUCAUGACCCUGAGCUGAAAUCAAGAGUUGGAUGCUUAACUGAGCCACCCAGGUGCCCCCAAUAAAACUUUAUUAAUAGACAAUGAAAUUGGAAUUUUGUAAAAUUUUCGGUGUUACAACAAAAAAUUUUCCACCAAUCAUUCUAAGCUUGAGAGCCUUUCGAAAACAGAUUGGCAGGCCAAAACUGGCCUGUGAACUGGAGUUUGCCAACCCCUGGUCUAGAAAAUCAAAUUCAGGCCUUGGGAAUUGAUAGCUCAUUAGUAACAGGCUGAAGCUAGUACCAACAUGUCUCUGAGAAAUUCCCUGUUACCAAUACCUUUGCCUUAUAGCAAGCCUUUAUCAUAUGGUAUUAAAUACCUUUUAUUAUUUUUAAAUGUUUAUUUUGAGAAAGACAGCAAGAGCACAAGCAUGAGUGGAGGAGGGGCAGAGAGAGGGAGAGAGAAUCCCAAGCAGACUCCUCCUUGUCAGCAUGCAGCCUGACCAGAGGCUCCAUCCCAUGAACAAUGAGAUCAUGACCUGAGCCAAAAUCAGCAAUCAGGCACUUUAGAGGAGUAAAAUGACUUUAGUAAAUUAUCCAAAUAGAAUGGUUCUCAUUUUUUGUAUUUGGAAUUCGUUGUGUAUACUUUUUACAUGGCUUACUUUUGUCAUAGCAGUUCUCUUCAUUUUUAAUGUACACCUAAAGGAAAGGUCCUAAGAAAGAACACCAGUCUUCAGUUUGCAGCAGAGCCUGAUCACAGUUUCAGCCCUCGGUAGUGAAACAAAUGGUCCCGAAGAAAAGAGGAAAACUUUAUGUCACGAAGUCAGAGUUUAAAAUCUGGGAUCACUGGGUUCUUAGGUAGCUCAGUCGAUUGAACUUCUGACUCUUGAUUUAGGCUCAGGUUAUGAUCCCAGGAUUGUGAGAUCAAGCCCGGUGUUGGGAUCCACACUGAGUGUGGAUCCUGCUUAAGAUUUUCUCUUUUUUGGGGCACCUGGGUGUCUCAGUCAGUUAAGUGUCUGACUCUUGAUUUGGGCUCAGGUCAUGAUCUCACAGUUCAUGGGAUCAAGCCCUGCUUGGGAUUGAUUAUCUCCCUCUCAAAUAAACUUUAAAAAAAAUCCCCCCCCCCCUCUCAAAAAUACAAAAAAAAAAAAAAUCAGGGCACCUGGGUGGCUCAGUCGGUUAAGCAUCUGACUUUGGCUCAGGUCAUGAUCUCAUGCUUCAUGGUUCUAGCCCUGCAUCUCACUCUGUGCUGACAGCCUGGAGCCUCUUUGGAUUCUGUGUCUCCUCUCUCCACUCCUCUCUUGCUCAAGCUCUGUCUCUCUAAAAAAUAAAAUAAAGAUUUAAAAAAAAUUUUUUAAAUACAAAAAAAUUAAAAUAUAGAACAUUAAGUAAAUAGAUAAACAGGUUAAUUAAUUUUAAAAAUCUGGGAUCACAAGCUCCUGUGAGCAUACAGAUUGCCUUCCUGACCACUGUAAGUCUACCCAGGUGCAGAGAGGGGGCCCCUUUGUUGCUACUUGAAGGAUAAAUCAUUGAAGUCAGUGACUGUAUUCAAUACCCCAGGAGGUUUCAGUGGCUUAAUCAUGCCCAUUAAAGUAAUAUAAUGGGAUUUCCUAGUUGAUGAGUGAAGUUAAUUAGUCACCUACUACUCCCUGUUGAGUUGAUUUUUUUUUUUUAAUUUCCUGGUAAGGAAAGAAAAGAUGAAGUAAAACAUUUCAAAGGACCUUUUUAACCCUGAGCUGCCACCUCUUGUCAUAGGAAGCAGUUAGUAGACACAGUGUCCCUCUUCAUUGCUCUGCUUCAGUUUCAAGCCUCAGACCUGUACCAUAUCAAGAGGAAAAACUAAAGCAGGAUGGGUAGGGGGCUGAAAGUAUUGAGUGCCAUUCCUGGUGCCUAUCAAUAAUUUACUUCCUUUCCUUCAGGGUUGAAAUUGCUGUCAACAGACUUUUGAAUUAAAAUUUUGGAUCACCUCUCAAAAUUUUAAUCAGGAAAAUAAAACCCUGGAGAAAUAAAUUCUGCAGGCCCCAAAGGAACAUAAAAAUGUGGAUCAGUGCCUAGGAAUUCACACAAAAGAAAACAAUUGGGGAAGAGCAACUAAUUAAGUACUUAAAAGAAUGACAAUGACUUCUUGAAUCUUGUUGCUUAAUUAGGGUUUUAUGAACAGCUCCAGUUAAUGGACCUGUCAAUAUUCUCUU